rnacentral:rRNA from 1 species
UACGGAGGGGACUAGCGUUGUUCGGAAUUACUGGGCGUAAAGCGCACGUAGGCGGAUUUGUAAGUCAGGGGUGAAAUCCCGGGGCUCAACCUCGGAACUGCCUUUGAUACUGCAAAUCUCGAGUCCGGAAGAGGUGAGUGGAAUUCCUAGUGUAGAGGUGAAAUUCGUAGAUAUUAGGAAGAACACCAGUGGCGAAGGCGGCUCACUGGUCCGGUACUGACGCUGAGGUGCGAAAGCGUAGGGAGCAAACAGG